AAUAAAAAAAUAAAAAAGAAAAAGAAAAAAAAGACCACAAGUCCGGAAUUAUCAACAGAUAAUAUUGACCGUUACUCAUCUUUCUCUCUAGGAAAACAGAAUGCCGAUUUCCGGCGCCAAAAUCCCGACGGCAAUUCCAACUUACCCGCAUCCAACUGUUGGAAAAUGGCGAUUCUUUGAGAUUAACAACUUGUGUAAAAAUAGAGCUUUCAAAUCGAGGCAAAGUAACGGAAUUGCAAAAUUGAAGCUGAAAAGAAGCAUCAAUCAUCCUACUUUUGUAGCUUCUGCUUCUAAUGUUUCGAUUUCCGACACUUCUUUUCCGACAGAUUAUCCCGACCUUCUUCGCCAAGCGAAAGAAGCAACUGAAUCAGCAAUGCAGGACAAUAUACAGUUGAUGGAAAUUGAGUUCCCAACUUCUGGAUUAGACUCAGUGCCAGGUGAUGGUGAAGGUGGUAUAGAAAUGACUGGGAGCAUGCAGUUGAUCCGUGAGUUCUGUGACCGCCUUAUAGCUCCAGAAAAAGCCACUCGGACCAGGAUAUUUUUCCCAGAAGCCAAUGAAGUAACAUUUGCGAGAACAUCGGUUUUUGAAGGAGUUGCAUUAAAACUAGAUUACCUGACUAAGCCAUCCUUUUUUGAGGAUUUUGGUUUUGGUACAAAAGUCAAAAUGGCAGAUCGUGUUCAGCCAGAAGAUGAGCUUUUCCUAGUUGCAUACCCGUACUUCAAUGUCAAUGAGAUGCUUGUAGUGGAGGAACUUUAUAAAGAAGCAGUCGCCAACACUUCGAGGAAAUUGAUUGUUUUCAAUGGGGAGCUGGAUCGAAUAAGAUCUGGAUACUACCCAUCAUUCUUUUACCCCAAGUUGGCUGCACUUACCAAGACGUUGUUUCCAAAAAUGGAAACCGUGUAUUACAUCCAUAAUUUUAAAGGACGAAAUGGUGGAACUCUUUUCAGAUGUUAUCCCGGGCCUUGGCAGGUUCUUAGAAGGGCGGGAAAGAAGUAUAUAUGUGUACAUCAGCGAGAAACUAUGCCAUCCCUGAAGGAAGUUGCCUUGGAUAUCCUUCGACCUGUUUGAUCGUUGUGUCUGCUUUCAAGUAUCUUGUAUAUUGGGUCUUCUGGUCGUGAAAUCCAGGAAACCCAUAUUCAAGCAGCUGUAACAUGCUCAAAACAACUCGGAAUUCACCUAAGAAUCCGCAGUGGAGGCCAUGACUAUGAGGGUGUCUCUUAUGCAUCAGAAAUUGACCACCCUUUUAUCAUUAUAGACCUUGCC